rnacentral:rRNA from 1 species
CACGUAGGCGGCAUAACAAGUUAGAUGUGAAAUACCAGGGCUCAACCUUGGGGCUGCAUCUAAAACUGUUGUGCUAGAGUUCACUAGAGGGAAGUGGAAUUUCCGGUGUAGCGGUGAAAUGCGUAGAUAUCGGAAAGAACACCAGUGGCGAAGGCGGCUUUCUGGAGUUGAACUGACGCUAAGGUGCGAAAGCGUGGGGAGCAAACA